UUCAAAUUAUUAGUUUCUUUCCUUCUUCAUAUGAGCUAAUACAAUGAUACUGUAGACUUUUUUGUAUGUGUGUAUGUUUUUUCUUCUUCUUUUAGGUUGCUUUAGCAUUGAUUAUUCAUGGAAGAACAUGAUUUAUCCCUGUCUUCAAAUACAUGUUCUAUCUCUGGUUCGACCCCACCUGAAACUUCCACACUUAUUCUAUCAUUUGGAAGCGCCAGCACAUCAUGAUGCAGACCUACGUUUUGGAAAAUAAAGAAGCACGGAUCUACGGAAGAUUUCUCAAGCCUUCCUUACAUUUGCACAUUGCUUAAUUGAUCCUUAUGGACUUACUAUGGAAUCAUAGAGGCUAGAGAGUACCUCGUGGCUACUGUCGAUGGCUUUGGCAUUGUGGUGGAGACAAUCAAUGUUAUUCUAUUUCUCAUAUAUGCUCCAAAAGGGAUAAGGGGUAGAACUCUCAUUUUGGCUGUGAUUUUGGAUGUGGCAAUUUCGGUAGUAGCAGUAGGUACUACUCAAUUAGCAUUGCAAAGAGAAGCUUGUGGUGGUGUUGUUCGUGUUAUGGGAGCAGGGUUAAACAUUGUUAUGUAUUUCUCACCUCUCUCUGCCAUGGUUCUGCACAUUCUUCCAUGUUUUAGUUGGAUAUAUUGGUUCUGCAUGGUUUCUUUCACGUUAGAGGAUGGCUGAUGGAAUCCAUAAAGAUCUUUGUUGCUUUGCGUCUCGGGUAUCUCUGAGCCUUAUACGAGAACAUAUACAACAUAUACAGUAAGAUAUAAUAGACGCUACCAACAUAUGUAAGAUUUCAAAGGAGACAAUAAGGUUGCCACUUCUUUUUUCUAUCUAUCCCACCUUGACUGAUUUUGGUAACGGAUCCAAAAGCUUUGAGAUUAGGAUUUGAUGUGAAUUUGAUAGCUAUUGCAUUGCCAGCAAUUUUUGGUGUAUCCUUUCAAAUUAUUGUUCAUAUAUGGGUCAUGAGCAAGAAGGGCCCUCUCUAUGUUGCAAUGUUUAAGCCAAUUGGACUCAUCUUUGCAGUCAUCAUGGGAAUUGGCUUUCUUGGUGGCUCUAUCUAUCUUGGAAGUGUGCUUGGAGCAGCCAUAGCGGUUAUUGGUUUUUAUGCUAUUAUUUGGGGGAAAAGCCAAGAACAAGCAAAGGAAGAGUGUGAAGUCUAUGAUGACUCAGAAUCAUACUCGCUGUUGUCCCUCUUUUGGAGAACAAGAGAAUGGAGGAAUAGAAUCAUAGCAAUCAUUUAAUUUCUCUAGCUUCAAUAUAAAUGUCUCAUGUAAUAUUUGAAAACAGAUUGCAUUAAUAAAAAAAAUUAGUCAUAGUUCGAUUGA